ACCACCAUGAAUGAUGAACCAUUUCUUUAGCAGGCCUGGGCCAUGCACAUAUCAGACAGAGAGAGAGAUGAUGAUGAUGCAUGGAAGUGUGUCAGGGGUUACGACCACUUGAGCAGAGAUAUAAACAAAAAAAUCUUCAAUUCAAAAUAAAGAAAGGAGAAGCAGAGUACAUGUACAUGGCGACGUGGGGUCACACCUUGGGCACAUCUAAAUGUGCCCCAGCCUAGAUGUGCCCCAGCCCCCAGGCAGGCCACCAACAGAGAUAUACACAUCAGAAGUACCCAUUGAAGAGCUACCCCCACUUCAUUCAUUUCGUCCCAUCGCCAUUAACUUCAUAUUUCACACCAUCGUUCUUGGGUGUGUGUGUGUGUGUGUGUGCUUGGUUGGGAGAUGAUGAGGGUCUCAGAUAUGAUUGCAUCCAAAUGGAACUACGUCUGGGCUGCAAAUGUGUUGAUAUUGAAGUCUCUGGAGGAGAUGUCAUGGCAGUUUCUCUGGCCCAUUCGAGUUCCAGUACCGUCUCAAGAGGUUGCAGAGGAGGCAUCUGCUGGCAUGAAAUAUAAACCCGUUGCCUUUGUUAACUUGUAAACAAUGCUUAGAUAUUGUCCAUUUUAUGUUGAUUGUAAUAGCCUCACUUUCCAGUCUUUUCGAUUUACCUAAAGUGUUCACAAUAGAGUUCCGAUCUGGUAGGAUCGUGGGUGUUUGAUCCACACUUGGAAUCCAAUUAAUGUAAAAAACUGUUGUAAGAUGAGAGAGAUUGAAUAGAUUUUAUCUGUGGAUCAGAUACUGUAAGAGAAUGAUUCUCGUUUGAUGACG